GGGGGCGUGGCCCGAAGGUCGGGCGGCAGACUUUUAAUCUGCUGGUCUCGGUUCGAUUCCGAGCGCCCCCA
rnacentral:tRNA from 1 species